GUGUUUUGUUAUUUUUACAUUAUAUAUUUUUUUCUAUGUAAUCAUUGUAAUUAUUUUUUAAUAAGUAAGUGACCUAAUGAGUGAACAAUAUUCAUUCCGUAACCAAAGAAAAUGAAAAAAAACAUAAAUAGAAAAACAAGAAAAUGUGACCAAUGAAAAUAAAUUGAACUAGAGUAAUGUGCAAAUAAAAUAUAACAAAAGAAAAUCACAUGAACCAACAGAUGAAAAUAAAACAAUGAAUGUCCCGGGGAAUCCCCUAGCGUGACGUCCCAUUCACUCUCAGACAGCUGCCCAGACGAGACACACCCACCCGAGGGGGCAAUCAACCAUACCUCUUAUAAAUCCUCGGGUUUCCGGUGUGUAUUGUAACAUUGCUGAGCCACGUCACAAAGUACGCCCUUCUGCCUGCGUGAGGCGUGAGGCGUGAGGCGUGAGGCGUGAGGAGGAGAAGCAGCUAUAAGUCUGAAGAUAGAGAAGAGGAGAGAAAGUGAAGAAAAGUGAAGUGGAAAAGAAAAAGUAAAACGUAUCACACCCGGACUUUACGUAAGAUAUUAAGGAAACAGUGAACUUUAAGGUUACAUUGGUCACAUAAUAAUACAUAAUAAGUGCACAAAAAAAUAGGGGUAAUAGGAUAUUAUUUUAUUGCUUCAUCAUUUGAAUUAUUUUGCGGGUUCUUAUUUAUUUUUUUUUAUAAUUUUGUAUUGUGUGUAUUGUGCGUGUAAUGUGAAAUAGAGUAAUAAAUCUGGAUAUUAAA